UACAGAGGGGGCAAGCGUUGUUCGGAAUUACUGGGCGUAAAGGGCGCGUAGGCGGCCGCCUAAGUCAGACGUGAAAUCCCUAGGCUCAACCUAGGAACUGCGUCUGAUACUGGAUGGCUUGAAUCCGGGAGAGGGAUGCAGAAUUCCAGGUGUAGCGGUGAAAUGCGUAGAUAUCUGGAGGAACACCGGUGGCGAAGGCGGCAUCCUGGACCGGUAUUGACACUGAGGAGCGAAAGCCAGGGGAGCAAACGGG
rnacentral:rRNA from 1 species